AAGAGAUUUUGCAGGGGUUCCACCGUCUUUCACGCAUUGGAUUUUACCUGGAAAUUAGCUACUUGAAAGGUGAGUUUCUUUACAGAAAUAGACUGGUUGGGAUUGUAGCCCAAUGCUGGACCUUUAAAGAAAAUUGGAUUAUCCUACCACCGUCACACGGCCUAGCACUGUGUCCCUGGGAAAUGAUGGUGUCAACUCUGGUCUGGUGGAGGAGAACCCAUUGGGGGCCCAGAAAAACAGCUGGCAG